rnacentral:rRNA from 1 species
CCUACGGGAGGCAGCAGUAGGGAAUCUUCCGCAAUGGGCGAAAGCCUGACGGAGCAACGCCGCGUGAGUGAAGAAGGAUUUCGGUUCGUAAAGCUCUGUUGUUAGGGAAGAAUGAUUGUAUAGUAACUAUAUACAGUAGAGACGGUACCUAACCAGAAAGCCACGGCUAACUACGUGCCAGCAGCCGCGGUAAUACGUAGGUGGCAAGCGUUGUCCGGAAUUAUUGGGCGUAAAGCGCGCGCAGGUGGUUUAAUAAGUCUGAUGUGAAAGCCCACGGCUCAACCGUGGAGGGUCAUUGGAAACUGUUAAACUUGAGUGCAGGAGAGAAAAGUGGAAUUCCUAGUGUAGCGGUGAAAUGCGUAGAGAUUAGGAGGAACACCAGUGGCGAAGGCGGCUUUUUGGCCUGUAACUGACACUGAGGCGC